GAUGAACGCUGGCGGCGUGCUUAACACAUGCAAGUCGAACGGUGAAGCCCCGCUUGCGGGGUGGAUCAGUGGCGAACGGGUGAGUAACACGUGAGCAACCUGCCCUGGACUCUGGGAUAAGCGCUGGAAACGGCGUCUAAUACUGGAUAUGAGACCUCAUCGCAUGGUGGGGGUUGGAAAGAUUUUUCGGUCUGGGAGGGGCUCGCGGCCUAUCAGCUUGUUGGUGAGGUAAUGGCUCACCAAGGCGUCGACGGGUAGCCGGCCUGAGAGGGUGACCGGCCACACUGGGACUGAGACACGGCCCAGACUCCUACGGGAGGCAGCAGUGGGGAAUAUUGCACAAUGGGCGGAAGCCUGAUGCAGCAACGCCGCGUGAGGGAUGACGGCCUUCGGGUUGUAAACCUCGUUUAGCAAGGAAGAAGCUUUUGUGACGGUACUUGCAGAAAAAGCGCCGGCUAACUACGUGCCAGCAGCCGCAGUAACAC
rnacentral:rRNA from 1 species